rnacentral:rRNA from 1 species
UACGUAGGGACCGAGCGUUGUCCGGAAUCAUUGGGCGUAAAGAGCGUGUAGGCGGCCACUUAAGUCCUGCGUGAAAUCUUGCGGCUCAACCGCAAGCGGUCGUGGGAAACUGGGUGGCUAGAGUGCGGGAGAGGAGAGUGGAAUUCCUGGUGUAGCGGUGGAAUGCGCAGAUAUCAGGAAGAACACCCGUGGCGAAGGCGGCUCUCUGGAACGCAACUGACGCUGAGGUGCGAAAGCGUGGGGGAGCAAACAGG